UACGGAGGGUGCGAGCGUUGUCCGGAAUCACUGGGCGUAAAGGGCGCGUAGGCGGCCUGAUAAGUAGGGGGUGAAAUCCUGCGGCUUAACCGCAGGGCUGCCUUCUAAACUGUCAGGCUCGAGCACAGUAGAGGCAGGUGGAAUUCCCGGUGUAGCGGUGGAAUGCGUAGAGAUCAGGCGGAACACCAGUGGCGAAGGCGGCUCACUGGCCCGAUACUGACGCUGAGGCACGAAAGCGUGGGGAGCAAACAGG
rnacentral:rRNA from 1 species